rnacentral:rRNA from 1 species
GAUGAACGCUGGCGGCGUGCCUAACACAUGCAAGUCGAACGAAGCACCUUACCUGAUUCUUCGGAUGAAGGUCUGGUGACUGAGUGGCGGACGGGUGAGUAACGCGUGGGUAACCUGCCCUGUACAGGGGGAUAACAGCUGGAAACGGCUGCUAAUACCGCAUAAGCGCACGAGGAGACAUCUCCUAGUGUGAAAAACUCCGGUGGUACAGGAUGGGCCCGCGUCUGAUUAGCUGGUUGGCAGGGUAACGGCCUACCAAGGCAACGAUCAGUAGCCGGUCUGAGAGGAUGAACGGCCACAUUGGAACUGAGACACGGUCCAAACUCCUACGGGAGGUAGCAGUGGGGAAUAUUGCACAAUGGGGGAAACCCUGAUGCAGCAACGCCGCGUGAGUGAAGAAGUAUUUCGGUAUGUAAAGCUCUAUCAGCAGGGAAGAUAAUGACGG